GCCCUUAGAGUUUGAUCCUGGCUCAGGACGAACGCUGGCGGCGUGCCUAACACAUGCAAGUCGAGGGGACCGCCUGGAAAAUGCCUUCGGGCGUUUUCCGGGUCAGGUUAACCGGCGGACGGGUGAGUAACACGUGGGCAACUUACCCAUGAGACCGGGAUAACAGCCCGAAAGGGCUGCUAAUACCGGAUAAACUUUAAGGUGCGCAUGCACGUUAAAGCAAAGGGAUGCGUUCUGCUCAUGGAUGGGCCCGCGCCCCAUUAGCUAGUAGGUGAGGUAUAGGCUCACCUAGGCGACGAUGGGUAGCCGACCUUAGCGGGUGAUCGGCCACACUGGGACUGAGACACGGCCCAGACUCUUAC
rnacentral:rRNA from 1 species